rnacentral:rRNA from 1 species
UGGUCUUGACAUCCCGGAGAUCUUCUGGAAACAGGAGAGUGCUUUCAUUAGAGAGAAUCCGGUGACAGGUGCUGCAUGGCUGUCGUCAGCUCGUGUCGUGAGAUGUUGGGUUAAGUCCCGCAACGAGCGCAACCCUCGCCAUUAGUUGCCAUCAUUUAGUUCGGGCACUCUAAUGGGACUGCCGGUGUCAAACCGGAGGAAGGUGGGGAUGACGUCAAGUCCUCAUGGCCUUUAUGACCAGGGCUACACACGUACUACAAUGGCCGAAACAAAGGGCAGCCACAGAGCGAUCUGGAGCGAAUCCCGUAAAUUCGGUCUCAGUCCGGAUUGGAGUCUGCAACUCGACUCCAUGAAGUUGGAAUCGCUAGUAAUCGUGGAUCAGCAUGCCACGGUGAAUACGUUCCCGGGCCU